GCGAAAACUUUACAAUGCUGGCAACAGCGAUAAGGGAACCUCGAGUGCCAGGUUACAAAUCUGGCUGUCGAGAUGCCUAAAAAGCAUUUCAUAGCAAGGGCCGGGCAAGACCGGUGCCAGCCGCCGCGGUAACACCGGCGGCUCGAGUGGUAACCGUUAUUAUUGGGUCUAAAGGGUCUGUAGCCGGCCGGAUAAGUCUCUUGAGAAAUCUGGCAGCUUAACUGUCAGGCUUUCAGGAGAUACUGUCUGGCUCGAGGCCGGGAGAGGUGAGAGGUACUUCAGGGGUAAGGGUUAAAACCUGUAAUCCUUGAAGGACCACCAGUGGCGAAGGCGUCUCACCAGAACGGACCUGACGGCAAGGGACGAAAGCUAGGGGCACGAACC
rnacentral:rRNA from 1 species